rnacentral:rRNA from 1 species
GAGUUUGAUCAUGGUUCAGAACGAACGCUGGCGGCAUGCCUAACACAUGCAAGUCGAACGAAGGCUUCGGCCUUAGUGGCGCACGGGUGCGUAACGCGUGGGAAUCUGCCCUUUGCUUCGGAAUAACAGUGGGAAACUACUGCUAAUACCGGAUGAUGUCUUCGGACCAAAGAUUUAUCGGCAAGGGAUGAGCCCGCGUAGGAUUAGGUAGUUGGUGGGGUAAAGGCCUACCAAGCCGACGAUCCUUAGCUGGUCUGAGAGGAUGAUCAGCCACACUGGGACUGAGACACGGCCCAGACUCCUACGGGAGGCAGCAGUGGGGAAUAUUGGACAAUGGGGGGAACCCGUCGAUCCAGCAAUGCCGCGUGAGUGAUGAAGGCCUUAGGGUUGUAAAGCUCUUUUACCAGGGAUGAUAAUGACAGUACCUGGAGAAUAAGCUCCGGCUAACUCCGUGCCAGCCGCCGCGGU